rnacentral:rRNA from 1 species
ACGAGGGGUCCAAGCGUUGUUCGGAAUUAUUGGGCGUAAAGCGGGUGUAGGUGGAUCUAUAAGUCAGGAGUGAAAGCCCCGAGCUUAACUUGGGAAGUGCUUUUGAUACUGUAGAUCUUGAAUGUGGGAGAGGAUCGUGGAAUUCCAGGUGUAGUGGUGAAAUACGUAGAUAUCUGGAGGAACACCGGUGGCGAAGGCGGCGAUCUGGCCCAACAUUGACACUGAGACCCGAAAGCGUGGGGAUCAAACAGGAUUAGAUACCCUGGUAGUCCACGCCGUAAACGAUGGACACUUGGUGUUGGAGGUAUUGACCCCUUCAGUGCCGAAGCUAACGCGUUAAGUGUCCCGCCUGGGGAGUACGGCCGCAAGGUUA